rnacentral:rRNA from 1 species
CCUACGGGAGGCAGCAGUGGGGAAUAUUGCACAAUGGGGGAAACCCUGAUGCAGCGACGCCGCGUGAGUGAGGAAGGAUUUCGGGAUGUAAAGCUCUAUCAGCAGGGAAGAAAAGGACGGUACCUGACUAAGAAUCCCCGUAGAACUACGUGCCAGCAGCCGCGGUAAUACGUAGGGGGCAAGCGUUAUCCGGAUUUACUGGGUGUAAAGGGAGCGUAGACGGAAUAGCAAGUCUGAUGUGAAAGCCCGGGGCUCAACGCCGGGAGUGCAGUUGAAACUGUUGAUCUAGAGUGUCGGAGAGGGAAGCGGAAUGCCUAGUGUAGCGGUGAAAUGCGUAGAUAUUAGGAGGAACACCAGUGGCGAAGGCAGCUUGCUGGACGGUGACUGACGUUGAGGCUCGAAAGCGUGGGGAGCAAACAGGAUUAGAUACCCCAGUAGUC